rnacentral:rRNA from 1 species
AUUGAACGCUGGCGGCAGGCCUAACACAUGCAAGUCGAGCGGGGUUUUCGGACCUAGCGGCGGACGGGUGAGUAAUGCGUAGGAAGCUACUCGAUAGAGGGGGAUACCAGUUGGAAACGACUGUUAAUACCGCAUAAUGUCUACGGACCAAAGUGUGGGACCUUCGGGCCACAUGCUAUCGGAUGCGCCUACGUGGGAUUAGCUAGUUGGUGAGGUAAUGGCUCACCAAGGCGACGAUCUCUAGCUGGUUUGAGAGGAUGAUCAGCCACACUGGGACUGAGACACGGCCCAGACUCCUACGGGAGGCAGCAGUGGGGAAUAUUGGACAAUGGGCGAAAGCCUGAUCCAGCAAUGCCGCGUGCAGGAUGAAGGCC